rnacentral:rRNA from 1 species
UACGGAGGGUGCAAGCGUUGUCCGGAUUCAUUGGGUUUAAAGGGUGCGCAGGCGGGACAUUAAGUCAGGGGUGAAAGACGGUUGCUCAACAAUCGCAGUGCCUUUGAUACUGGUGUUCUUGGGUAACCUUGAGGUAGGCGGAAGUGGGUGGUGUAGCGGUGAAAUGACAUAGAUACCACCCAGAACUCCGACUUGACGAAGGCC